rnacentral:rRNA from 1 species
GGAUGCGAUCAUACCAGCACUAAAGCACCGGAUCCUAUCAGAACUCCGAAGUUAAGCGUGCUUGGGCGAGAGUAGUACUAGGAUGGGUGACCUCCUGGGAAGUCCUCGUGUUGCAUCCC